CCUGACUUAUAGCCUGUCAAACAUACCUUAUACAUCUGCUUUAACCAUUAAAGUUAAGGAUGCAUUAAACAUUAUCUCAAAGUAAAAGAAUGCACUCUUUG